UUGAAAAAUAUAAUUAACUAUUUUGGAGUAUUUAUAACUAAACAAUGUAACUUAAAACUAAUUUAUAAUAUCCUUGAUUAACAUAUUAAUUAUUUUUUUUCAAAAGCAACUCGAGCAACAAUAACAAAAAUAUUCUUAAAUGAUGUUUUGCUGGUUAACUACAAUGAAACUUUAGCUAGUACAAAAUACAGAAUAAUGUUCAAGACUUAGACUUACCUG
rnacentral:misc_RNA from 1 species